rnacentral:lncRNA from 10 species
GUUUACCUUACAGCUUUUUAUUUUAUUUUUUUUAAUAGUAGAGACGGGGUUUCACCAUAUUGGUUAAGCUGGUCUGAAGCUCCUGACCUCAAAUGAUCCGCCUCGGCCUCCCAAAGUGCUGGAAUUACAGGCUUGAGCCACCAUGCCCAGCCAACCCUAUAGCUUUGCUUGUUCAUCCUGGGAAGGAACUGUGCAAGUUGGCGCUUCGGGCUUGGUAUAAAAACGGCUCCUGAAUUCCUGCCCAGUUGUAAUUUCCUUGGGGAUUUUGAGAGGGGCUCUUCAACGUUGCCAGGCUAUCACGGCCCUUUUGUUUGCAAGAGAGCAGUGAGUAAAUUAUAUCUUGGGCUUAGCAAAGCAAAAAAUAAACACGAUGACAGUAGGACUUUUCGGAUGAGCUAUUUCAUUUCUCCUUUGUAUUUUUUUCUUGAUCGUUGAUGGUCCAUUGCAGACUAAUGCAAUGCUGAUGUCUUAAUAUUAAUGUUCGGAGCUGAAGACAGUCAUUUGCCUCGUGCUGGUGGGGCGACUGGGCAGGGUUGGGAGCGAUCAUGAGGCCCAAGUGAAGGCAAGGAAAGAUUCUUAGUGUCACUUUCUCUCCUUUCUCCCAACACCUCAUGUCUGAGUUCCUGGACAAAACAUCUUCCAGAUUGCGGGUGAAUUUAAACAUCGCAGCUUCUUCUUUCAAUCAUAAUUUUCUGCUUGAGCCAAAAGCUGGAGUGUCCUCUUGCACCUGGAUUCCCCUCUGCCGCGGUUGAAAUGGGAGCGUGUAACUCUUUAUAUGUGAGACGUUUAUGGGCCAGACACUGGCAUUCCAACCCCCUCACCCAGGGCACUUGCUAUAAAAUAUUGAAGGCGAGCAGAGGCUAUCCUUGGAGGGAAUGCUGGUGAUGCCAGGCUCAUAAAAACCAGCCUUUUAAAAAUGAGUCCCUAAUCAGGAAUUGCACGCCCUCUCCCUCUCCAGUGCGCUCUGGCCUGGCAAAGCCCACUUGGGAAAGUAGGUGCUACUGAAAAGAGUCACUAGCCUCUACCUGUGGGACUUCUGUCUCCAGGGUGCUUCCAAAAUCUUUCGGGACUCUGUGUUCAGGACUAGAACUCUUCAUCCACGGGGCUCCAGUGCAACCCCCUCCAACCCCCAUCAGGAUCUGAAGGCAAGGAGGACCAGCGUCCAGGACCCGGUUUCUGCGCCCCCAGGCUCUGUAGAAGUUCUGGGAAGAAGUUCUCAUGGAAGCUGAGGGGAGGGAGACGCACGUCGGCGAACUCUGGGCCUAGCCAAGUUUCUAUAUUUUGAAGGGAGAACCAUGUACCUGCCCUUGGCCUCACCUGAAGACAAACACAGGAGCAAAAUUAAGCAGCGGAGCAACUUUCUGGAAAGGAGCUUAGGGAGAGAAAGCUGGUGCGAAACCGAGUGCGCGCUAGGCGUGUGCACCCGGGGAACAAGGCGUGCCCAGGGGUGUUCGCAGUGGCGGUGGGAUGGAUGCCCGCGCCACCUAUGCGCAGUUAUUUAUAAACUCAUUGUGGGCAUCAGGGUACCCACGACGCCGUUCGUGUCGUUCGUUCCCUUCCUCCUGGAAGGGAAGAGCAAACAAAGCAGUCCUUGGCAACGCUCAACCUCUCUGUGUCAUACAUGUGGUUUUCAGUGUAAAUGAAUUUAGUAAACGCCAAGGCAACAACCCUGUUUACUUGUUUCCGUGUAGAAAGGUUAGCUAACGAACCCGAAGCCAUCCUUCGCGCUUCUCUUUGAUUCCGUCUCAGAUUUACGGGCUUCUCCUCGGCUACACGACUCCAGCCAUCGCCCCCGCUCCCUUGGCCCAGGCAAAGAGAGCCCUAGGCUCCGAUUCCCGCCGCAGCUCAGAGCAAAGCGAUUGCAGGAUUUAUCAACCCCCCUCCCAGGACCUCGGAUUUCAUCUCUUUCUUUUCCCCCUGCAUGUUCAGUUUGUUUUUUCAAGACCUAAGCAAUUUUUAAUGUACUCUAUACUUCCCGCUUAAUCCUCAUCGUUUAUUGUAUAAUUAUAGUUUCAAAGUGAUUAUGUAAUUAAAAUCAUGUUUCGUUGCAGCAGGACUUCAAAAGGGCGGCAGACCCCCGCUCUGGCAUUAUUUUCUAGUGAUGUAAUAAUUUCCCUGUGAUAUUUAAAAUAAACACAUUAGUCCAAGAAUUCUAAACAUGUCUCAAAGUAUAUAGUAGGCUUGAUUGGCACGAGGCUGGGUUGUAAAGAAAUGGUAAAACCUAUCACUAGUUUAAUAUAUUUCUAUGCUCCCAUGCAGGGUAAAUUAUAGGAUAAUGGGGCGCAGGCGAUGGUAAGCUCUGUUUAUAUAAUCCAUUUCUUCACACGAGUUCCCAUUGCUUUCCCUUCCCUUUGCUGUAUGUGGUGGUUCUCUGAUCCCCUGACCUCAGCCAUGUGUUUUCACUUUUUCUUCUGAUCUCAAUUCCAUGACCAGCGGGGAAUAAAAUACAAAUUGAAUAGUAACCAUUCACAGGCCGCUCUUUUCAAACUGUUGUUAAAACCUCUUUGUCUUGUCUAGCGGUUGAUAGAUAAAUGUGUUGUGUUUCGCCUGACUUUUUU